AACUGUCCGAAAGAAUAAAAAUGGUUGGAUUGUCUAUAUUCCAAAAAAUAAUUUAAUUAUUUUUAAGAGUAUGGUAGAAAAAUAUAUUCUACCCAACUUUAAAUAUAAACUUAUUCCUUAUUCAAUAAAAUCUCUUACCCCGUAGAGACUAUACGCCAGACUCCAAUUUGAUUGGAGUAUGAGAUAGUCCGAACUACAUGGUAACAUGUAGAUCUUAAUAGAAAUAUUAAGACGCCUCAUUACGAGGUUGAUAAGUAACAGAUUGUAGAGACCCCUGUAGUCCUAGCCGUAAACUAUGCUCGCUAGGGAUUUCUGAUUUAUUUUGGAAGUCCCGUAAGCUAACGCGUUAAGCGAGCCGCCUGGGGAGUACGAGCGCAAGCUUAAAACUCAAAGGAAUUGACGGGGACCCGCACAACCAGUGGAGCAUGUGGUUUAAUUCGAGACGAACCGAAGAACCUUACCUGGACUUGACAUCUAUUACUUAAUGCCUCCUAGAAAUAGUAGGAACCCGAAAUUUUUCGGGGGUUUUGGACAGGUGUUGCAUGGCUGUCGUCAGCUCGUGCCGUGGGGUGUUCCCUUCAGUGGGGUAACGAGCGCAACCCCUGCCGUAUGUUGAAUAUUCAUACGGGACUAUCCGAUUUUAUAUCGGAUGGAAGUGGGGACGACGUCAAGUCAGCAUGGCCCUUAUGUCCAGGGCAACACACAUGCUACAAUGGAGCCGACAAAGGGUUGCCAACGAGUAAUCGGGAGCUAAUCCCAUCAAACGGCUUCUAAGUGGGGAUUGAGGGCUGCAACUCGCCCUCAUGAACGCGGAAUUGGUAGUAAUCGCGGAUCAGCUAAGCCGCGGUGAAUACGUUCUCAGGUCUUGUACACACCGCCCGUCAAGUUAGUGAAGUUGGGGGCAGCCGAACCUCGAAUGUUUCGGGGGAAGCUGAAACCAGCGACAAGAAUUAAGUCGUAACAAGGUAUCCGUA
rnacentral:rRNA from 1 species